rnacentral:rRNA from 1 species
UACGGAGGAUGCGAGCGUUAUCCGGAUUUAUUGGGUUUAAAGGGUGCGUAGGCGGGAUGCCAAGUCAGCGGUAAAAAUGCGGUGCUCAACGCCGUCGAGCCGUUGAAACUGGCGUUCUUGAGUGGGCGAGAAGUAUGCGGAAUGCGUGGUGUAGCGGUGAAAUGCAUAGACAUCACGCAGAACUCCGAUUGCGAAGGCAGCAUACCGGCGCCCUACUGACGCUGAGGCACGAAAGCGUGGGUAUCGAACAGG